UCUGGCGCUUAUGGCGGCGGGGUCCCACCCGUUCCCAUCCCGAACACGGCAGUUAAGCCCGCCAGCGCCGAUGAUAGGCGGUCCGCAGGGACCGAUCGAAAGUAGGACAGUGCCAGAU
rnacentral:rRNA from 1 species